ACGACAAUUUUUGUCUCUCUUUUGGAGGAAGUGGGAAAACUAAGAGUAAUUAGCGAAAAUUGCAAAACCAAAAAUUCAUCAUACCUGGUCCAGAUGACAAAGAAAUAGGGAUAUAACGUGAUUCCGAAAAAAAAAUAUCGGAAAGAAUUUUUGUCAAAUACAGAGUCCUAUGAGGAUGGAGAUAUCAGUCUCUGAUAAAUUGAUCGCAGAAGUUGACUGGCUAGUGUCGAGAGUGUGUUCUUCUAGAUGGAUCCAAGAUGAAAGUACAAGUUGCAUGCGAGGAAAUUGACACACCUUACUUUAUAGGGGAUUCUGAAGAAUAUGUAUGAUGUAAUCAUAGGGAACAUUCCAGACGCAAGAGACCCAAAAGAUCCAGAUAUGAAUUGGAGUCGCAGUACCGCAAAUGUAGUGUUAACUAGACCACAAGCUUGCAAUGCAGGUAAAAAGACUAGGCCAAUUUGUGUUUCAGAUAUUAUAGACUUACAUGUGACACACUGCGAGCAGAAGAGAAAAAUGCUACAGUAACUCUGGAUUUAAUUCGUGGUUAAGUUGGAAAGGAUACAGAGGCAGACCCCUAACGUUCAUUUCAUAGAUUUAUUGAAAACUUAAAUCGGCCAAUGUUGAAAAUGAAAAAAGUUCACACAAUUAUAGUUGUUCCUGAAAAAUUCAGGACAAAAAUAUGAACAUCCGAACAUUGAUCUCUGAUGUCAGGACAUUAAGGCAUAAAAAAGAACAAUUGGCAGAGCGUAUCAGAGUCUGAGGUUCUUCUGCUCGGUAGUGAAAGGAGAUGUCUGGCGACUUUGUUAGUUAUGUAACAUUUGUCAAAGGACAACUCCAAAAGGUAGGAUAAUAAAAGAACCUUUUGGUAAGAUGCCUGAAACAUUGUAAGCGUGCUGCAGUAGAUUUGUUUGGCCCCAAGUUAACCAGCAGCGGACUAAAAAGAACCGGCACAUCUUCACCAUUGUAGACUUUGCUUAACGGUACCAGGAGUCGGUGGUGUUAAAACGUAUAAGAGCUGAUGGCCGAGACAAGUCGCGAUCGUCUACUCUCAUUUCGACAGCUGACGACAACGCCGUACCACACCUUGAGUAUUGGAUUGGUCAAGGGUUUUAGCCGAACGCUUAAGAAAUGAUGAGACGACUUUGUGCAGAGGGCCCUAAGGACUGUGACAUGAAUCUGCAGCGCUAUUUGCCUUUCGUGACACCUCUCAAGAAACUCUCGGAUAUUCAACUUUUGAAUUGGUUGAAGGUCACACAGUCAGAGGUUCUAUGUGGAUUUUUUGUGAGCUACGGACAAAAGAGGUAUCGGAUCCUGAAAUUUAAACAACUUAUCAGUAUGUUUUAGAUUUAAAAAAUCGUCUUCAGUCGACAUUUCAAGUAGCCAAAGAUAAUCCGGAGAGAUCAGUCACAUACUGAGUUGAACAUAUUUUAUUGACUACUGCCAAAAGGAUUGGACACAAGUUCAAAAACUUAGAAUGUCCUCUUCCUUGUACAUAAUAUAUUACAAUGCCAUACAAUGCCAGUCACCUACUGUAACGACCGGGCAGGGCCGCGAGACAUGAGGAAAGAUGAGAAAGUUCUUGACUUGCUACCUACCUCUAACAAAUUAUUGAUACGGGUGGAGAGGACCUUACAGAAUAGUUCAGAAGGUAGAAAGUGUAGAUUAUAAGGUUGAUGUUAACGUCAGAUGAUUUGGACUGAUACAAUAAACAUGGAAAAUUGAGGAGGAUCCGGAAUACCAGUAAUCCCUUUAUGAUAGAGAGAAAACAAACCAUGAAACCAAAUAAAAAGUUUUAAUGUUUGAAAAAUAAGCAAGCAUAAUACAUAUAAUUGCAAAACAAAACAAAAACAUAUAAAUAUCUGAAUGUAAAUAUGAAUGUUUAGUAGCACUAUUUUAACGUUUGAUUUUGGACAUAUUUUAUUGAUUUAUAUAUUGCAAUGGGAUUGGGCACAAGCUAUAAAAACAUAAUUCGGCCUCUCCCUUCAACUUAUAUAGCAGUAUAUAAAUGCACAACAGUGUCUCUGCUUCUGACAAUAAAUUUGUAUCAUAAAUACCAUAUAUAUACUUGCAGUUAGUGAACUUUAAUACUAUACAUAAUACACCUAAAUUAUUAAUUAGUGUACAUAAGCAUUUAUUUAGUGAAUUUGACAAAAAAUAUGGGAUUAAAAAAUAUGUGAUUUUGUAUUGCACUAAAUACAGUUAACUCGUUUCUUUUAAGUAUACACAAUAUUAAUCAGAAAUUGCAUUUUACAUCAAGUUUGCGUAACCUUGACUACAUAUAAGAACUCAUACAUUUCUCUUUUUCAUACCUAAUUCAUAAAAGAUUCUGCAGGACAUUAAACAAUGACAUAAUUUUGAAAGGAGAGCUGCUUUUUCAAAAAAAAACCUCUACUUCUCAAUGAAUAAACACUGUCAAUUAAGUAAAUUUUUCACUGUACGUGCUGUGGAGCAGUGAUAAAUACAUGUAUAAGAUUAUUUCAAACAUUUUCAAUGAUAAGUUACUUAUAAAUGGCUUAUUUCUAAAAAAAAACAAAAAAAAAAACC